GGAUAAAAUAAGUGACACGGCAUUGCUUCUUCCUUUUACGAGAAUAUGAGGACAUUAUUUCGGAAAAUAGCAGAAAACUGAGACGAUAUGCACCAGCUCCGAAGAUCGAUCACUGCACUGAAAUUCCAGGCCAGCUGUCAAGAGUAUCAGGCUUAAAGAAUGAAUAAAUGAAAAAUGCAUCAUUUCUCCACAGGGCAUAGCUUUUCCCUUGGACUAAUGGAUUCACUCAGGCGGGAAGUUAAUUUAAGGAAAAUGAAUUCAUUUUAUCCCUAAGAACAUGAAGUGAUGGAAAUAAUUUGCACCCGCCCAGCAUUCCUAGGCCUACAGUCUAUCAUUGGAUUUGAAAAGAAAUGUUUAUUUAAUAAAUUUUCUAGAUAAAUAAAAUAAUUAAACUUUUUUAUUUAUUUACUGUUCAUGUGUUGAAAAGGCCAUUAAGAUUUGAAAAUCUUAACUUGCAUACUAUUUUGUGUGGAGGGUACUAAUGUCCAUAAAGAUCUUAUGUCCAGCAUG